rnacentral:hammerhead_ribozyme from 2 species
ACCCAGCUCACGAGUCCUAAAUAGAACAAAACGCGCGUCCUGGAU